ACAACCUUGCUCAGGGGUCUGGUGUGCAAUCAGAAGUAAUAUUAAGGCAACGUACAUCUUUGAGAGUCAUGCAGUGUCCAUUAGAUUGAAGGCUUCUGAACAAUCUCCUUGUAGCUUGCCCAGCCCAGAGCCUGUGGACCCUCUGCUGCUCUAAGGAAGCCCCUUUGGGUGCCUGAGGUGCUGGCUGCUGUCGAUGUGGAUGAGAGUGAAGGGCCCAUGUCCAUGGCAGAUGUCACAGCACUCGCGGGAGGAGGGCAAGGCUGGUUGUCUCAGCAGAGCUGGCUCUGUGACUCUGGAUUCUUUGCCUAAUUCUGGAUCUGCAGUGUACACAUAUCAUGCUGGAGCAGAAUUGGCCCUGGAAAAUGCUCAGGCAGAGCAGCAGCCAUGGAGCAGGCCCUGCUGUCCUGGACUUUCUCCCUUGUCUUUCCCUGGCUCUCACCCACCGCAUUUCAGGACUGGGAAAGGCAUCGUAAAGACUGCCCUGAUCGAUUCCUGGAUUUAAAAGGAUGGCCUGUGGAAGCUGUGAUAAUCACAAGAGGAGAGCGAGACCCUGCCCCAAGUACCACCCUGGAUCUUGCGCCAGAAUAUGGAGAAGUUGCCACAGGAACCGAGCAAAAGGCACUCAUAAACAUUGUGGGUGUAGAAAAAUUUUGUCUUUGUGAUGAGAUGGCAGGGAUUAGCACUUGAUAACCUUGAUAGUCAUGCACUUUUGAAGUAAAU
ensembl:lncRNA